UCAGCAGUCAAAAAUAUUAGUCAAUGCUCGCAAGAGUGAACUAGCUAACUGAAAUCAACGGUGUGUCAUCGUUGAUAAGGUAAGGGAAAAUAAUGAUAUUACCUUACUAUUAGUGUCGUCCAAGUACUCGUGCCAGAAGACUCGGUAAGGCGAGAGACGCAAACGUUAGUCGUCUUAAUCAGGCGUAAAGGGUUUGUAGGCGGCUUUAAGAAUUUUAAUCUUUAAAAUAACAUACUUUAAUUUAUUUUAGUAAAAAGAAAGAAAAAAUCAAUUAAAGCUAGAAUCAAGUAGAGGUCAAAUUAAAUAAUACUUGGUGUAAGAUUGGUAUCUUUAAAAACCAAGCGGAAUACUAACGGCGAAGGCUUUUUUCCAAUAAUGAUUGACGCUGAGAAACUAAGGUGAGGACAGAAAAAAGGAUUAGAGACCCUAGUAUCCCUCACUGUCAACGAUGAAUGGUAGUUACUAGAUACAAAUCUAGAGGCGAUGUUAACACGAAAACCAUUCCGCCUUGUGAGUACGACUGCAAAGUGAAAACAAAAAAAUUAGUCGGUUUCGGAGCAAACGAAGUGAAGCAUGUUAUUUAAUUCGAUAAAUCCGCAA
rnacentral:rRNA from 1 species